AGCUCUUCCAGUACACCCAGGCCUCAGACCCGACACCCCAAGUCAGAAAACUGGGCUUCCCAAAUACCCGGAAGACCAAGUCCCUUCCCCAGCAGCCCUGAUCAGGAUUCCUGCGUGGCCCCGAGGGGUGAUAUCUUCUGGAGGGUCACCGGCCUUAGGCUGGCAAUAUUUUUUAGGAAUUAUUCCCUUCCCCGGCCUGGUGUUUCUAUCUUCUGGAUUCCCCUUGGAAAGCUAUAAGGACUUUGUUGGUGACAUAUAGAAAUGUUGCUGACAUAUCUUUGGAAAAAG
rnacentral:lncRNA from 1 species